ACUCAAAUGAAUUGACGGGGACCUGCACAAGCGGUGGAGCGUGUGAUUUAAUUCGAUACUAAGCGAAGAACCUUACCCAGGCUUGACAUCUCUGGAAAGCUCAGGAAACUGAGCCGUGCCGCAAGGAGCCAGAUGACAGGUGCUGCACGGUUGUCGUCAGCUCGUGCUGUGAAGUGUCCCGUUCAGUCGGUUAACGAGCGCAACCCCUAUCCUGUGUUGUACUUUUCACAGGAAACUGCCCCGGUUAACGGGGAGGAAGGUGGGGAUGACGUCAAAUCAGCGUGGCUCUUACGCCUGGGGCGAUACACGCGCUACAAUGGGGAGUAACAAAGGGUUGCAAAGCCGCGAGGCGGAGCUAAUCCCAUCAAACCUCCCCCCAGUUCGGAUCGGAGUCUGCAACUCGACUCCGUGAAGCCGGAAUCGCUAGUAACGGCCGGUCAGCCAUACGGCCGUGAAUACGUUCUCAGGUCUUGUACACACCGCCCGU
rnacentral:rRNA from 1 species